UACGAGAGGUGCAAGCGUUGUUCGGAAUUACUGGGCGUAAAGCGCACGUAGGCGGUCACGUAAGUCAGAUGUGAAAUCCCUGGGCUUAACCUGGGAACUGCAUCUGAAACUGCAUGUCUUGAAUGUCUCAGAGGUUGGUGGAAUUCCAGGUGUAGGAGUGAAAUCCGUAGAUAUCUGGAGGAACAUCGGAGGCGAAGGCGGCCAACUGGGAGUACAUUGACGCUGAGGUGCGAAAGCGUGGGGAGCAAACAGG
rnacentral:rRNA from 1 species